AGCAAGCAGUCCUGCAGUCCUAUAUGCUUGUAGGAUACAGCAAUGUCUCAGGAAUUCCUGUGUCUGGAGAAGUCGCCAUCCUGGCAUUACAUGAAGAGUUUAUCCCAGUCCUCCAUUGCUAGGACACAUAGGUGAUGGAAGGGACAGUAGCAACCCAAUCUGGGGCUGGACUGGCAUCUGAAAGGCUUUAGGCAUUAAGUCAGUCUAGCAUGUUUAGUAAAUGAACUGUUAUAUCUUUGUCUUGUUGCUUCCUUAUGUUACUCCAUUUAUGUGAAUACCUGUUCUCUCUUUGUCCAACCUCUAGUAACUUAUAAUCCAUUCUUAUUAUUUUGUACAAGUGUGCUCUCUGCUUCACAGGAGCUGGCUAAAAGAGUUCCAGGUGGUAUAGAUGUGGAAGCCGUAUGUGUUUAACACUUGGAGAGGUGGAGAAGAGAAGAUGAAAAUUGGUCUACCUGCAGAGAGAGGGGAAAGGAAUAAUUGCUUAAAGUAACAGGGGACAUGUUUGAGAGAUCAUUAUUACUACUUAGCCCAGCAAGGCUAUUGGGAAGCUAUUGGGAAAUAUUACUUGCUAGUAGGCAGUUAUGACCGUAUGGUGCUUAAGACAGUGAGGUAUUAAUCUAUAGUGCUUGUGGGCAUGCUGUUAAACAGGUGAAUUUGUUACUUGCUUUUUUCCUCUUAUAAAAAUGCUAUCUAUAAAUCCACUGCUACUAUUUAUAAAGCUUACUUAUAAAACUCUGAAUAAAACUUCUUUUUUUCUUUCUCCUGCCUCAUACUUGCAUAUCUAUGUAUUGCAGAGCCAAUACUCUUGUCAAAAGAUGUUCCGAAGCAACUAAUGUGAUUAGUAUUUGAAAGGUGUGCAAGGAUGAAAACUGUAAUGGAAGAUCCAGCUGAGAGAGAGAAUAUAUGCUGAGGAACACUAACAAAACGAUUGCAGUCACUUAUGAACAGUUACACAAAUGUAUAAGGUUUGCUAGCAGUAAAAGAUCUGCAGAUAACUGUUUGAAGACAGUGGACAAAAAGGACGUCAGCCAGGGGGAGCAUGACAUGUAACCAGUGACUCAGUCCAAUACAGCAUCGGAACCAGGAUACCCGUCGGGAU